rnacentral:rRNA from 1 species
GACGAAGGAUGCAAGCGUUAUCCGGAUUCAUUGGGUUUAAAGGGAGCGUAGGUGGCCUUAUAAGUCAGUGGUGAAAUCUCUCGGCUUAACUGAGAAAUUGCCAUUGAUACUGUAGGGCUUGAGUACAGUUGCUGUGGGCGGAAUAUGAUAUGUAGUGGUGAAAUACAUAGAGAUGUCAUAGAACACCGAUUGCGAAGGCAGCUCACAAAAACUGUAAACUGACACUGAGGCUCGAAAAGUGCGGGGAUCAAACAGG